CAGUAGCCGCGGGAAUACGUAGGUGGCAAGCGUUGUCCGGAAUUAUUGGGCGUAAAGGGCUCGCAGGCGGUUUCUUAAGUCUGAUGUGAAAGCCCCCGGCUCAACCGGGGAGGGUCAUUGGAAACUGGGAAACUUGAGUGCAGAAGAGGAGAGUGGAAUUCCACGUGUAGCGGUGAAACGCGUAGAGAUGUGGAGGAACACCAGUGGCGAAGGCGACUCUCUGGUCUGUAACUGACGCUGAGGAGCGAAAGCGUGGGGAGCGAACAGGAUUAGAGACCCCAGUAGUCCCUGUCUCUUAUAC
rnacentral:rRNA from 1 species